AAGGUCACCUGCUGUAACAAUGGCACCUUUACCCUUCUCAAGCACAUUGAUGAUUGAACACCAGGGUGACAGAAGCACUUGCAAUGCCACUGAGAGGCCUCAGCCCUGCAAAGAGAAGAUGUAUGACCCAUGGCAGAGCAAAGCAUGGAUGAGAAGUCAAAGCCUCUGCUCCAAACCAGCGCUGGUGCAUUGCAGCAGCUGAAAAACAUCCAAAGCACCAGGUGAACGCCCACAGAAUCAUCUGGAUGCUGCUUUGUAGAGGGUAUCUUCUCCUCAUCAGAACAGUAAAACUCCUCCUGUAUCCACCUGUCAAACCAUCCUCUGGUGACUGGCAGGAGCUCUGAAGGCAACAAGGAUAAUGCUUCAGCAUCACUACUGCUCAUCACAUUGCCAUUCUUCAUCAUCUGUGCAAAGCCUGUUCCGUUGCAUUUUCCAACAAAAAGAUCCAGCUCAUGGACCAGACCAGAGAUCCUCAGCUAACAGUGCAGCCUGUCGGGAGUCCACAGACCAUUGGUGAUGAGCAGAAAUGAUGGUCUCCUCUUCGGUGUUGUUCUCCUCUCAAAAAUAGUGACUCCCAGAGUAUCAUCAUAGUUCACAGCCAAGAGUUUGUGCUAUCCAUUAAAAGAGGCCCAAAUGAAGACAGGCAGAGGGAACUCCAGGAGUUCCAUUUACCCCUGAUGGCUCCCCUAAAGAACCCCGAGACCCACACCUAUAUUCCCUACCAUUUCUUCUUCCCCCUUCCUACAUCACCUCUUUAUUUGCAUGGCCAACAAAGAUCUACUUAGGGUUGAUGCGCAUCUUGUGUCAGAGCCAAAGGCUGGCAAGAGAGAGUCCCAGGCACUUUGAGGAUUAAACACACUCUGGUUUAUUGGUUGGAAGCAGAGCCAAAGUUGGUAUUUUUAUGGGGAUUACCUACUGGCCCAUCUCUGCCCAAUGUCAGGGUAGACAUAGCCCAGCUAUGCAAUGGCUCUUUCAUAUGCAAUUUUGGAAUCAACCCUAUGAGAUCCAUAAAGCUCUUAGAUCAAAGGAGGUGAA